CUAUUAUCCUUUUAGCUAAUGGCGAAAUUACCAUUUUUACUCUGCCAGAUAGUUAUUCUUUUGGUAAUAGAAACACUAACCUUUUUUCUCCCUAGGGAUUUAUUAGUAAGCACGUGUAAUCUUUGGCAAAAGGGAACCUGAAAAUGCAUUUCCCUGGGGACCUGGCGCCAGUCGAUGCCUUUCAGCCUGCGGCUGACCUUGGAGACGCAGAAAAGCAGGAUUCCAGGACACAUUUACGACCGUCAUAAUUGGAGAGACAGCCCUGCCCCUCCAAGGCCACCCUGCAGGCUUUGUCUACCAGGCACUUCCUCCUCUCUCCCAGGAAGCACGUGUGACUCUAACACUCCCUUGCGCUCCCACGUUGCCUCUUGGAGAUUCUGGGGGAGAAGGCGGUUUUGACUUCUGUGAUUCGAAGAUGCUCUCCCAAACAGCAGAAGGAUGUUGCUUGGCUGGCAGUGGGCACACAUGCUGGCCACUGCCCAGAUCCCCUGGCUGUAGGGUGCCAGGGCUGGGAGAGUCCUCCCACACCCCUGAGCACCACGGCAUUCAUGGGGAGACUGAGGCACAGACAGGCUGUGCAUUCCCAGCUUGCUCUGCUUGCUCCUGGACCAAGUAUCCAACCUGGAAAGUCCUCCCAGUGGAAAUAGGCAUUCUCUCAGCCUCCCAGCGCAGGGAGAAAUAGGAAAGGGCCCUUCUUAGAGGCAGCACAGUGCUUGGCACAUGGAAAGCACCUGGUUAACUUUGCUAAAGAAAAAUGAUUCUCCAAAGCCCCUUAGCGAGGGCCCUCCCACUCAACCUCUCCUUUCCUCAGAAGCCUGGCCUCCACUAGAGGCCAUUCUCUCUGGAGCAGGAUGCUGCUUUGUCCUCAGAGCUGUGCUUCCCAGCAUCAGAGUGUCUCUGCCUCUUAAGCCCCCAGGGCGCCCCCUGGCUCAAUCACUCACUCCUGAGGCCCCCUGGGCAAACAUCUGUCAUGACUUGUGUUGCAAUCUGCUUACAGGUGAGUCUCUACCCGCGCCUGGGAGCAGCUGGGGGCUGCGCCUUUCUCUCUGGCACCUGGC
rnacentral:lncRNA from 1 species